UGGGGUGUGGCUCAGUGGUAGAGCACUUGCCUAGCAUGUGUGAGGCUCUGGGUUUGAUUCUCAGCACCACAU
rnacentral:tRNA from 1 species